rnacentral:rRNA from 1 species
UACGUAGGGGGCGAGCGUUAUCCGGAUUUACUGGGUGUAAAGGGCGAGUAGGCGGGAUUACAAGUCAGAUGUGAAAUACCGAGGCUUAACUUCGGGGCUGCAUUUGAAACUGUAGUUCUUGAGUGAUGGAGAGGCAGGCGGAAUUCCCAGUGUAGCGGUGAAAUGCGUAGAUAUUGGGAAGAACACCAGUGGCGAAGGCGGCCUGCUGGACAUUAACUGACGCUGAGGAGCGAAAGCGUGGGGAGCAAACAGG